GUGCUGUGUAUUAAAUAUGCAGUGUCUUUAUGAGGACUUGUGAAAGUGCUAGCAGGGCCACUAACAGACUUCAGUUCAUGCCACCUACACUCCUACAGUGUCUCGUAGGGGACUUGUAUUUAUCAGCGGCUCCCUCUUUUAGUAAAGCUCUAUAUGCAGAAGUGACAAAUGGCACCGAAACACCUGUAUAACACGCAGAGUACAGACUAAUGUAUUGCAUUUUUAUUUUACAGGUGAGACCCUAUGGCUGGCUGGCUGCUUGGUUUGACCAGGAUACCCAACUACAGCUUUGAGGAAACUUCUGCAUCUAAAUACAGUGACCACAGAAGGGAAGCAUGCAUUUCAUAAAAGAAUGUGGGAACCUGGCAUUGGACGCCUGAACAAAGUGUUUUGUAUAUAUGUCUUUGUAAAUAUUUUUAAAUAAACUCCCUUUUUUUGAUA